rnacentral:rRNA from 1 species
CGGCAAGCCUGAUCCAGCCAUGCCGCGUGAGUGAAGAAGGCCUUCGGGUUGUAAAGCUCUUUCGGCGGGGACGAAACGGUUCGUGCCAACACCACGGACUAAUGACGGUACCCGAAGAAGAAGCACCGGCUAACUACGUGCCAGCAGCCGCGGUAAUACGUAGGGUGCAGGCGUUAAUCGGAAUUACUGGGCGUAAAGCGUGCGCAGGCGGUUUGUUAAGACAGGUGUGAAAUCCCCGGGCUUAACCUGGGAACUGCGCUUGUUACUGGCAGACUUGAGUGUGGCAGAGGGGGUGGAAUUCCAGGUGUAGCAGUGAAAUGCGUAGAUAUCUGGAGGAACACCGAUGGCGAAGGCAGCCCCCUGGGUUAACACUGACGCUCGUGCACGAAAGCGUGGGGAGCAAACAGGAUUAGAUACCCUGGUAGUCCACGCCCUAAACUAUGUCAACUGGUUGUCGGGGAAGCAAUUCCUUGGUAACGAAGCUAACGCGUGAAGUUGACCGCCUGGGGAGUACGGCCGCAAGGUUA